GGGAACCUGAAAACUAACGUUGGAUAAAAUGGACGUUUAAAAUUCAUUCACGUCAUCACAAGUAAAAAUUUUACUCGCUAUAAAAUUUUUUACUCAUGAAUAAAUCCGUGAGUACAAUUCUUACUCGUGUUGACGUGGAUGAAUCUUCGAUGUCUUUUUUUUAUCCAACGGAAGUUUCCAAGUUUAC
rnacentral:pre_miRNA from 2 species